rnacentral:rRNA from 1 species
CAGUCGAGGGGCAGCGGGGCGGCAGGCUUGCCUGCCGUUGCCGGCGACCGGCGCACGGGUGAGUAACACGUAUGCAACCUGCCCGUGGCAGGGGGAUAAGCGGGGGAAACCCCGUCUAAUACCGCGUAACGCGGCCUAGGGACAUCCCAAGGCCGCCAAAGGGAGCAAUCCCGGCCACGGAUGGGCAUGCGGCGCAUUAGCUAGUCGGCGGGGUAACGGCCCACCGAGGCGACGAUGCGUAGGGGUUCUGAGAGGAAGGCCCCCCACACUGGUACUGAGACACGGACCAGACUCCUACGGGAGGCAGCAGUGAGGAAUAUUGGUCAAUGGGCGCGAGCCUGAACCAGCCAAGUCGCGUGAGGGAGGACGGCCCUACGGGUUGUAAACCUCUUUUGCCGGGGAGCAACGGGCGCCACGUGUGGCGCCACUGAGAGUACCCGGAGAAAAAGCAUCGGCUAACUCCGUGCCAGCAGCCGCGGUAAUACGGAGGAUGCGAGCGUUAUCCGGAUUUAUUGGGUUUAAAGGGUGCGUAGGCGGAUCGUUAAGUCAGUGGUCAAAUUGAGGGGCUCAACCCCUUCCCGCCAUUGAAACUGGCGAUCUUGAGUGGAAGAGAAGUAUGCGGAAUGCGUGGUGUAGCGGUGAAAUGCAUAGAUAUCACGCAGAACCCCGAUUGCGAAGGCAGCAUGCCGGCUUCCUACUGACGCUGAAGCACGAAAGCGUGGGGAUCGAACAGGAUUAGAUACCCUGGUAGUCCACGCGGUAAACGAUGAGCGCUAGGUGUCCGGGGGGAAUGGCCCCUGGGCGCCACAGCGAAAGCGUUAAGCACUCCACCUGGGGAGUACG